rnacentral:rRNA from 1 species
GCGUUGUCCGGAAUUAUUGGGCGUAAAGCGCGCGCAGGCGGCCUUUUAAGUCUGAUGUGAAAGCCCACGGCUCAACCGUGGAAGGUCAUUGGAAACUGGAAGGCUUGAGUACAGAAGAGGAAAGCGGAAUUCCACGUGUAGCGGUGAAAUGCGUAGAGAUGUGGAGGAACACCUGUGGCGAAGGCGGCUUUCUGGUCUGUAACUGACGCUGAGGCGCGAAAGCGUG